rnacentral:rRNA from 1 species
AACUUUCAACAACGGAUCUCUUGGUUCUCGCAUCGAUGAAGAACGCAGCGAAAUGCGAUAAGUAGUGUGAAUUGCAGAAUUCAGUGAAUCAUCGAAUCUUUGAACGCACAUUGCGCCCUCUGGUAUUCCGGAGGGCAUGCCUGUCCGAGCGUCGUCA